rnacentral:rRNA from 1 species
UACGGAGGAUGCAAGCGUUAUCCGGAUUUAUUGGGUUUAAAGGGUGCGCAGGUUGUUUGAUAAGUCAGUGGUGAAAGUCUGUCGCUUAACGGUAGGAUUGCCAUUGAUACUGUUGGACUUGAAUAUGGAUGAGGCAGGCGGAAUGUGUAAUGUAGCGGUGAAAUGCUUAGAUAUUACACAGAACACCGAUUGCGAAGGCAGCUUGCUGGGUCAUUACUGACGCUGAUGCACGAAAGCGUGGGGAUCAAACA